rnacentral:rRNA from 1 species
UACGUAGGGUGCGAGCGUUAAUCGGAAUUACUGGGCGUAAAGCGUGCGCAGGCGGUUAUGUAAGACAGAUGUGAAAUGCCCGGGCUUAACCUGGGGACUGCAUUUGUGACUGCAUGGCUAGAGUGUGUCAGAGGGGGGUAGAAUUCCACGUGUAGCAGUGAAAUGCGUAGAGAUGUGGAGGAAUACCGAUGGCGAAGGCAGCCCCCUGGGUCGACACUGACGCUCAUGCACGAAAGCGUGGGGAGCAAACAGG